rnacentral:rRNA from 1 species
UACGAAGGGGGCUAGCGUUGCUCGGAAUCACUGGGCGUAAAGCGCACGUAGGCGGGUCGUUAAGUCGGGGGUGAAAUCCUGGAGCUCAACUCCAGAACUGCCUUCGAUACUGGCGAUCUUGGAGUCCGGGAGAGGUGGGUGGAACUGCGAGUGUAGAGGUGAAAUUCGUAGAUAUUCGCAAGAACACCAGUGGCGAAGGCGGCUCACUGGCCCGGUACUGACGCUGAGGUGCGAAAGCCAGGGGAGCGAAUGGG